rnacentral:rRNA from 1 species
AGCCUGAACGCUGGCGGCGUGGCUAAGACAUGCAAGUCGCACGGUGUAGCAAUACACAGUGGCGAACGGGUGAGUAAUGAAUCGCUAAUGUACCCCGGACUCUGGGAUAGCCAGCCGAAAGGCUGGGUAAUACCAGAUGAUAUAACCGAUCCGCAUGGGUUGGUUCUCAAAGGUCCGCCGGUCUGGGAGCAGGCGAUUUCGUAUCAGCUAGUUGGUGAGGUAACGGCUCACCAAGGCGACGACGCGUAGCCGGACUGAGAGGUUGGCCGGCCACAUUGGGACUGAGACACUGCCCAGACUCCUACGGGGGGCUGCAGUAACGAAUCUUCCGCAAUGCACGAAAGUGUGACGGAGCGACGCCGCGUGUAGGACGAAAGCCCUUCGGGGUGUAAAACUACUGUCAGGGUAAGAAAAGUUCUGAUCUAACCCCAGAGGAAGGACGGCUAAACUCUGUGCCAGCAGCCGC